rnacentral:rRNA from 1 species
CAUAACAUGUCGAGGGGCAUCACAUGAGGCAGCAAUACAUCUGGUGGCGACCGGCGCACGGGUGAGUAACACGUAUGCAACCUGCCUUCAACAAGGGCAUAACCCGUUGAAAGACGGACUAAUUCCCUAUGACACAGGGGUCCCGCAUGGGGAUAUUUGUUAAAGAUAUUAUCGGUUGAAGAUGGGCAUGCGUUCCAUUAGCUUGUUGGCGGGGUAACGGCCCACCAAGGCAACGAUGGAUAGGGGAACUGAGAGGUUUAUCCCCCACACUGGUACUGAGACACGGACCAGACUCCUACGGGAGGCAGCAGUGAGGAAUAUUGGUCAAUGGACGCAAGUCUGAACCAGCCACGUCGCGUGAAGGAAGACGGCCCUACGGGUUGUAAACUUCUUUUGUACAGGAAUAAAGUGCCUUACGCGUAAGGUUUUGCAUGUACUGUACGAAUAAGGAUCGGCUAACUCCGUGCCAGCAGCCGCGGUAAUACGGAGGAUCCGAGCGUUAUCCGGAUUUAUUGGGUUUAAAGGGUGCUCAGGCGGGGGAUUAAGUCGGCGGUGAAAAUUUUGCAGCUCACUGUAAAGUGCCCUUCGAAACUGGUUUUCCUUGAAUGCGGAUGAGUAGGCGGAAUUUGUGGUGUAGCGGUGAAAUGCAUAGAUAUCACCAGGAACUCC